UUGUGCGCGGGUGGGUGAGAGGCCCAGUCCGGGAGCCCUGCCUCCAACCCCCCAGAGGCUCCCCUUACUCCCGCCAGCUUACGGAGGGGAAAAGUGAGGCGCACAGCAGGUUGCCAUGUUGUGAGCUGCCACGUUGGAGGGGCCCACGUGGAAAGGAACUGAAUGCUGCCAGCGCGUACUGAGGGAGCUUGGAAGCUGGAUCCUUGCCCAGUCAUGCCUGCAGGAUAAUUUGAAACAUAUGAAGACACAGUUCUGCUGAGCCAGAAUGACAAGCUGGUGUUUGUUGAGUGCUGACUGUCCUGAGUGCCAGUCACCUCAUCUGACCCUCCCCACAACCCCGUAAGGUACUCCCUGGGCUGGAAUUUCCCCAACAUGUGCAGCCAGGGAGGGAACUACACCCAUCAGUGUCAAGGCCACAGUGCAUGGACCUCCUACCGUGAGCCAUGCCUCAUGCUGGGUGUGCCCUGACCUGGCCCCUCACACGGACCCUUCAGGUUUUACAGCCUGUUUUACAUGCCAGGAGACCCGGAUGCA